rnacentral:rRNA from 1 species
AGUGAACGCUGGCGGCAGGCCUAACACAUGCAAGUCGAGCGGCAGCGCGGGGGCAACCCUGGCGGCGAGCGGCGGACGGGUGAGGAAUUCGUCGGAAUCUGCCUUUUUGUGGGGGAUAACGUAGGGAAACUUACGCUAAUACCGCAUACGUCCUACGGGAGAAAGUGGGGGACCGCAAGGCCUCACGCAGAAAGAUGAGCCGACGACCGAUUAGCUAGUUGGUGGGGUAAAGGCCCACCAAGGCGACGAUCGGUAGCUGGUCUGAGGGGAUGAUCAGCCACCCCGGGACCGGGACCCCGGCCAAGCUCCCACGGGGGGGCGCAGGGGGGAAUUUUUGGCAAUGGGGGGAAGCCUUGACCCAGCCAGGCGGGUGGUGUGAAAAGGGCCUUCGGGUGUAAAAGCCCUUUUGUCGGGAAAAACACCCCUGGAGCUAAUUCCUUCGGGGGUGACGGUUACCGGAAAAAAAGCCCCCGCUUACCUUGUG